UUAUUAUUUACAAUAAUAAUUAGAUUGUGCAAUUCGGUCUAGCUUGAAUUCUAAAUUUUAUAUUACUUUUAUAUAUUUAGUUUAUUUUUUAUUUAAUCAGAAAUAUCUUUUUUUUAUUGGUAAUUUUAUUGACCUUAUUAUUUUAUUAGUUAUAGCUUAUUUUACUGUGAAGGAUUUAUUUUUAUUUUAUUAAAAGCAUACUUUUUUUGUAUUACCUUUUGUAUCAGGGUUUAUCAAUUUUAUAUUAAUUAUUUAAUUUUCCCGAAAUUAAAAGAGAUAUAUUAUAAUGAUUUUUUAUGUUUCAUAAUAAUUUUUAAUUUUAAUAUAGGGGUUAUAUGCUAUUCAAUUUUAAAUAUCUGGUUUUCUAAUAUAUUAAUUUAAUUAAGAUUAACAUUUAUAGGUUGAUAUACAAAUUUAUUUUAUUCAAUUUUGUUAAUUAAGUUUAUAGGGGAUAAGCUCUGAUUAAUUUCUAUAAAGUUUAUUUUUUAUAUAAUUUUAAUAGGCUUGACAACACCCACUUUUAAAUUCGUUAUAGUUUAAAUUAUAUAUAAAUUUAUUUUUUUAAAAUUUGAAUAUUUAUUAAAUUAUAUUUUUUAAUUUAUUAUUUAUAGAAAUAAUGAUAAUAUUAGUAGUAUUUUAUAUUUAAAUAUAAUAAUUCGGCAAAAAUAGUUCUCGCCCGUUUAACAAAAACAUGUCCUAUAGAUUUAGUAAUUUUAGGUCUGACCUGCCCAAUGAAUAAUUAAAUGGCCGCAGUACUUUAACUGUGCGAAGGUAGCAUAAUCAUUUGUCUUUUAAUUAAAGGCUCGCAUGAAUGGUUGGACGGGAUAUUGACUUUCUUACUUUAAAUUUUAGAAUUUUAUUUUUUAGUUAAAAAGCUAAAAUUAAUUUAUUAGACGAGAAGACC
rnacentral:rRNA from 1 species